CCUACGGGAGGCAGCAGUGGGGAAUCUUGGACNAUGGGNGCAAGCCUGAUCCAGCCAUGCCGCGUGAGUGAUGAAGGCCUUAGGGUCGUAAAGCUCUUUCGCCAGAGAUGAUAAUGACAGUAUCUGGUAAAGAAACCCCGGCUAACUCCGUGCCAGCAGCCGCGGUAAUACGGAGGGGGUUAGCGUUGUUCGGAAUUACUGGGCGUAAAGCGCGCGUAGGCGGACUAGUCAGUCAGGGGUGAAAUCCCGGGGCUCAACCCCGGAACUGCCUUUGAUACUGCUAGUCUAGAGUUCGAGAGAGGUGAGUGGAAUUCCGAGUGUAGAGGUGAAAUUCGUAGAUAUUCGGAGGAACACCAGUGGCGAAGGCGGCUCACUGGCUCGAUACUGACGCUGAGGUGCGAAAGUGUGGGGAGCAAACAGGAUUAGAUACCCUGGUAGUCCACACCGUAAACGAUGAAUGCCAGUCGUCGGGUAGCAUGCUAUUCGGUGACACACCUAACGGAUUAAGCAUUCCGCCUGGGGAGUACGGUCGCAAGAUUAAAACUCAAAGGAAUUGACGG
rnacentral:rRNA from 1 species